AAGAAGCAAUUAAGCGUACACACAGCAAGUCACACGCCCCUCGCACGCUUUGCGUCGAUCGACUAAGGCGCCGCCGCAAUUAAUCAAGACGUCAAACAUUCGGCUGUCAGUGAUGUUUCCGCUAAAACCACACUAUAGAAAUUCACUUCGAAAAGCAGCCCGCUCCAGUUGACUGCACAAAGCACACGGUCAUUCUCUAAACGGUGGACCGGCCUUAUAGCACAACGGGAAGACAAAGCACGCUCGUAAGAGGCUGCAUCACUGGGAAGAUAUUUUCACCAGCAAAGCUUUAAAGUAAGGCCGCUACUCACAGCUAAACGGACCUAGCAGGGAAGAUUAUUAUGACCGCUCACUCGAUUCACCCAAUCCGCAUGCGAUAAUCGGCAUCUGGGGAAGCAAAUCUGUCGAAGCGGUGGAAACCACGAACACGCAGAGGAAGAUCUGAAAGACAGCAUAAUAAGCGAGACAAAGCCAAACGGAUCGAGUGUCCGUUGGGGAACACGUGGAUCAUUACGACACGACGGGGAUCGAAAAGGUCCCCGUUUUUAUACAUCGAACGAAGUCGUUCCGGUCAUUGCGUGGUGAGAGAUCCGUGACAAACGAGGUGAGCGACACCAUCGUAAAUACAGCACGUAAACUGCUGAGCCGUGAACGGCAGAGUUGCUGGAGGGACAUUGGGUGCUCAGUCGACUACGUGAGGCACAUCAUAGCAGGCGUGGCCAGGAUUAGAGGGCGUGCUUCUUCGUGUUGGAAACGCGGUGGACCAACGAACUAACCCACCGAUUUUCGUAACGGUUGAUCAAAAGACACGGGACUGCUGCAAGACAAGCGUGGAGGACGAAGGGAAGUAACGUGACGUGUGUAGUGAGGGGCCCCCGCACAGGUGUAGUGAGUACAUAGAAUUAAGCAUGCAAUAGGCAGGAGAAAGAGGAAAGUGGAUAAAAGGAGAGGAGAGAGAAGAGAGAAUGAACAAGAUGUAGUAGGUUAAGAAUAAAUGUAGUAGU